ACCAGUGGCGGUGGUAAGGGGUAGAUAGAUGGACAGAGUGCCAGGACUAUAGUGGGUGGUGGAAGGAGAGGCACCAGGGGGUAGAUAGAUGGACAGAGUGCCAGGACUAUAGGUGUGGGUGGAAGGGAGGACACCAGGGUGUAGAGGGUAGAUAGAUGGGACAGAGUGCCAGGGUAUACAGGGGUGGAAGAGAGGUACCAGGGGGUAGAUAGAUGGACAGAGUGCCAGGGCUAUACAGUGGUGGAAGGAGAGGACACCAGGGGUAAUAGAUGGACAGAGUGCCAGGGCUAUACAUGGGUUGGAAGGAGAGGACACCAGGGGGUAGAAUAGAUGGACAGAGUGCCAGGGCUAUACAGUGGGUGGAAGGAGAGGACACCAGGGGGUAGAUAGAUGGACAGAGUGCCAGGGCUUGGAGGAGAGAUCAUGUGAGGAGUGACUGCUGGAAGUAAAGUGCAGUACUGUAAUCUGUGCUUAGUUUCUACGAAGCUCAACAAACUGAGCAAAAAACUCACCAAGCAGCAAAAGGGCUGAAAGCGAAGCGUCAGAAAGAGAGGGAACAACAGAGAAUACAGAAAGGGACCAAGAGAGAAAAGGAAAGAAAAUGAGUUUAGGAUAAAGUAGAAGACUUAAAGUGGAGAAACACUGACAGACAGGAGAUACGGCUGGGAGAUGUGGCCUAGCAAUCAGAUCUCCAUUAUUUCAAACUUAUGGGCAAAUCACUAUAUAUAAAUAUAUGUUUUUUAAUGUUCUCUCUAAAUAAGCGUUGUUGUACAAUGAAAGGUCAAAUACACUGCAUUUCAUACAGUCAGCAAUAAUCUAAUGAAUUCAGGGUUUGUGAAGUUAUACCCAGGCUAAAUAUGAGCUUUCCACAAAAAUAAGACCCACUAAUAACUUAAUGACUUUAUCAAAAUAGUUUAACCUCUCCAACUGUUUGAAAAGCAUGUUAGCCUGUCCACCUUGUUCAAGUGGCCUACCUUAUUCCUCAGAAUGAGAACGAGUUGCCAAUUCCUUAUAUAAUUGUUCUUUAUGCUUAUUGCACAUUUAUAAAACACAGACUAGACAGCUAGUAUAACAGUCUUUGGCUAAAAUGCUGCUAGCGGUACGUGGUAACCCAAUGCAGAUUAUUCGUUAUCCAGAAUCAAUGUUAAUUGAUACUCUCGUUUUAUUAGUGUCUGUUCUGUGGGCAAUUUGAGGAGUUGAGACUUAAAAUGGAAGAGUUCAUCUAUCCUCUAUUACAGCAAAAAUAAUGUCUCAAUGUGUUUUGGGGUCCAUAUGACCUACUCUGUUGGACCAAACCUCAAAUGCAAAUAGCGGAAGAUGUGAUCUCUCAACAUUGAAGAAUUUGUUCUUAACUGACUUGCCUAGUUAAAUAAAUGUAUAAAUAAAUUGUUGCCGUGAAGCGGGGGGAGGGGCUUGGUGUGUGUGUAAACCAUAGAGGAAGAGGCUAAGCUAGAGGUUUCACUCUCGC
rnacentral:lncRNA from 1 species